GUGUCUAUGGAGACAAUAGCAAAACAGGAUUAUCCAGCCAAGACUUGGUGACAUAUUGCAUUAGGACAGGAAGGAACUUAGAGACCUAAUUAAAUUCCAUGACCCA
rnacentral:lncRNA from 1 species